CAAGACUCAGGAGGUCAACCCGGAUGGGACACUUCCCCAAGGUUCCCGCUCUGCCUCCAGCGUCCACCAAGGUACUUGCUCCGCUGCCAGUGUCCCCCAAGGUUCCCGCUCUGCCUCCAGCGUCCACCAAGGU